rnacentral:rRNA from 1 species
CGUAGAUAUAUAGUGGAACAGUAUGGAAAGGCUGACCAUAGACGGUGAUAGUCCGGUACACGAAAUAUAUCUUGACCUAGCUAGAAAGAGUACCACGGGACACGUGAAACCCUGUGGGAAUAUGGGAGGACCAUCUUCCAAGGCUAAAUACUAACCGAUGACCGAUAGUGAACGAGUACCGUGAGGGAAAGGUGAAAAGAACCCCGGGAGGGGAGUGAAAUAGAAACUGAAACCGUUAGCUUACAAGCAG